UUAGUCCUUGUCCCAGAAGUGUCCUUUCUCCUGCCUUUGCUAUACAGGUCUGUCACAUCUUACGCUGGGGUUCCGUUCCGCAGCCAGCGCGUAAAGUGAAAAUCGCAUAUAGUCAAAAUUACAUUGAGUGUAUGGUGGGCGGAAUCACCCGCACUACAGUGACUACUGUUCAUAUGGAAUUGCACAUGCUCCUCUCCUCAGAGGGCAAGGAAGGUCAGAGCCUCCUGACAGGACCACGCAGAAGCACUGGGCAUGGCUACUAUCAUGGUCUGCAGAGGCUGGAAGGAGGCAGUGUGCCACGAGAGAAGCAGAACCUUUGAUCACAGCAGAGCCCUGAUUAGAGGACAGGGUUUCUCUGAUUAGGGGCCUAUAAAGGCAGUGAAGCAGCAAGGGAACAUCUGAAAACAGGGGAGUUCAAGUGUGAGUUUGUAAGGGGAGUUUGGGAGAGAAGUGUGUGGUGUAUGGUUUUUUUGUUUGUUUGUUUUUUUGUUUUGUUGUUGUUGACAGGAGGUGAGGCAAGAAGGCUUAUGAGUGAUAUAGAGGAAGUAGUGGUAGUGACCCAAAGAAUGGAAGAGACAAUGAAGAUGUACGUUAUCCUAGAGCAGGUACCCAAAAAGAGCUUUUUGUAUGAAAUGCUACCUGAUAGAGCUGAUGGAAGAGAGUAUCCAGGCUUUGGAGAUGCAGGUAGAAACUAUGGUUGAGUUUUGAAGGGGAUUC